rnacentral:rRNA from 1 species
AUGACCUGCUGCUACAAGGAAGGAUGGGAAGAAGAAUCCACAUCGGUGAGUGUGAUAUUCGUGGAAAUUUCUGCUUUUCUCUUUCUGACGGACCAGUUUCACUGUCAGCUUCACCUCCUCGCCGACAUUGCAUAUAUAGAUAGCACCACUACUUCUUCUUCUACAGUGCUGGUACUAGUACUACUAGUGCUGGGAGGGGAGGGGGAGCAAUCAAGCAGUCGCGCCGCACGUGACCAUCCAUCCAUCCAAGAAAGAGAGAGAAACAGAGAGCGAGCGGAGAAGGCAACGCACGCCAAUUAA